rnacentral:rRNA from 1 species
GAUGAACGCUGGCGGCGUGCCUAAUACAUGCAAGUCGAGCGAACGGACGAGAAGCUUGCUUCUCUGAUGUUAGCGGCGGACGGGUGAGUAACACGUGGAUAACCUACCUAUAAGACUGGGAUAACUUCGGGAAACCGGAGCUAAUACCGGAUAAUAUUUUGAACCGCAUGGUUCAAAAGUGAAAGACGGUCUUGCUGUCACUUAUAGAUGGAUCCGCGCUGCAUUAGCUAGUUGGUAAGGUAACGGCUUACCAAGGCAACGAUGCAUAGCCGACCUGAGAGGGUGAUCGGCCACACUGGAACUGAGACACGGUCCAGACUCCUACGGGAGGCAGCAGUAGGGAAUCUCCCGCAAUGGGCGAAAGCCUGACGGAGCAACGCCGCGUGAGUGAUGAAGGUCUUCGGAUCGUAAAACUCUGUUAUUAGGGAAGAACAUAUGUGUAAGUAACUGUGCACAUCUUGACGGUACCUAAUCAGAAAGCCACGGCUAACUACGUGCCAGCAGCCGCGGUAAUACGUAGGUGGCAAGCGUUAUCCGGAAUUAUUGGGCGUAAAGCGCGCGUAGGCGGUUUUUUAAGUCUGAUGUGAAAGCCCACGGCUCAACCGUGGAGGGUCAUUGGAAACUGGAAAACUUGAGUGCAGAAGAGGAAAGUGGAAUUCCAUGUGUAGCGGUGAAAUGCGCAGAGAUAUGGAGGGAACACCAGUGGCGAAGGCGACUUUUCUGGUCUGUCACUGACGCUGAGGCUCGAAAAGCGUGGGGGAGCUAACAGG